GCGAGGGUAGCCAAGUCUGGUCUCAAGGGACGACAGAAAAAGGCGCGAGCCAUCCGUGAGUUUGCAGGAACAAUUCCGAUGACAGCGACACUCAAGAAAGAGCCAAGGGCUUUAAGGGCAACAAGGCUUUUGUGCUAUCUCGUCCCUUAGUGGGUUCGUCGGUUCGAAUCCGACCCCUCGCA
rnacentral:tRNA from 1 species